rnacentral:rRNA from 1 species
AAAGUACUUUCAGCGAGGAGGAAGGCGUUAAGGUUAAUAACCUUGGCGAUUGACGUUACUCGCAGAAGAAGCACCGGCUAACUCCGUGCCAGCAGCCGCGGUAAUACGGAGGGUGCAAGCGUUAAUCGGAAUUUACUGGGCGUAAAGCGGCACGCCAGGCCGGUCUGUCAAGUCGGAUGUGAAAUCCCCGGGCUCAACCUG